CGAGAACGCCCGGGCCUAGCCGGGGCAAGUACAGUGGCGGACGGGUGCGUAACGCGUAGAUAACCUGCCCUCAGGCGCGGGACAAUCGCGGGAAACCGCGGCUAAUACCGCACGACGUCCGGAUCCCGCAUGGGAGCCGGAUGAAACCUUGGGGUUACCCAGGGGCCUUUGGAUGGGUCUGCGUCGGAUUAGCUUGUUGGUGAGGUAACGGCUCACCAAGGUAGCGAUCCGUAGCUGGUCUGAGAGGACGAUCAGUCACACUGGGACUGAGACACGGCCCAGACUCCUACGGGAGGCAGCAGUGGGGAAUCUUGCACAAUGGGGUCACCCCUGAUGCAGCCAUGCCGCGUGGAGGAAGACACCCCUAUGGGGCGUAAACUCCUUUUCUGAAUGAAGAAGCCCCUGUAGGUUCAGGGCGUGACGGUAUCUCAGGAAUAAGCACCGGCUAACUCCGUGCCAGCAGCCGCGGUAAUACGGAGGGUGCAAGCGUUGUCCGGAAUCACUGGGCGUAAAGGGUGCGCAGGCGGGGCAGCAAGUCGGAGGUGAAAGCCCGUGGCUCAACCACGGAAGUGCCUUCGAAACUGUUGCUCUUGAGUCCCGGAGAGGUUGCCGGAAUUCGUGGUGUAGCGGUGAAAUGCGUAGAUAUCACGAGGAACACCAGAGGCGAAAGCGGGCAACUGGACGGGUACUGACGCUCAGGCACGAAAGCGCGGGGAGC
rnacentral:rRNA from 1 species